rnacentral:lncRNA from 1 species
AUUUAAUCCGUCUGGGAUGUACAAACACCUAGGGUUUUCGAAUUAUAUGUAUUGCAGGCAUCAAAUUUGGCUCCAUCAAAUUUAAAUUAAAUCUUAGCAUCUUUCCUUUUUCAUCUUCUACCAACUCCAAAACGCCAUAUUUCGUUUUCCAUCAAAGCUACAAGAAGCACCAAACCUUCAAAAAUGAUUACUUUAUUAUCCAUUGAAUGGAGAAAUGGAAAAUCAAAUAUGAGCAGCACCGCAAGGAUGUACAAACAUGUUUGAAAACCUUGAUCUUAUUUUAAAAUUCAAAUGAUUUCUCCUUCGUUUUCCAUCACUCUCUCUCUCUCUCUCUCACACACACACACAAAUUCCAUCUACAAGGCCCUCAUAUUUCGGCAUUCGGCGUAAAGAUUCAGAUCCGAUAAUAAGGAGGGUGCCGCCGGUUAGGGUUUCUUCGUGAAAUGUUGUAGAGCGUCAUGACGGCUGUUGUUGUGGUUGUUUCUGGCAAUUCGAUAGGCAAAUAUUGGAUGUGGGUUACGCAUUUGUUUCUACUUCUGUCGUAAUGUCAUCAAUUGAAGCCCUAAUUUGUGGCCGGGGUCUGCUACAGUUGGUGGAUAUUUCGAUUAAGCUAGUUCUGGAAGUGGCGCAAAAGUUGGUGGAGAAUAAGGUUAGAACGCCUUGUGGAUAAUCAAUGGGUUCUCAACAAUUGUCCUCCUAUCACUGUUGCAAUCAUGACCCUUGCUGUGAUGGCCAUGAAGUUAUGUUGUAUGAGUGUUCUGUGUUGAAGUUGCGGAGGUGGUAGCAUCCUGCGUUGUUCUUUGCAAGUCUGAUACACUUGACUAAAAAGUCUACAAUUCAUCUUCUUCGUCGAUUCAGUAUCAAUCCAUUCGUCACACAGUGAGCUAACUCAGAGGAGCUGAGAAAGUGGAGUUUCUAAAGUCAGAGGGUGUGGAUCAUAUUGUUGAUAUCAGCAAAGAAGGUGUUAUUGAAAGUGUGAAGGCGUUUUUGAAAACAAGAAAGCUCUAAGGGGUUGAUGUUUUAUAUGAUCCAGUUGGAGGCAAGCUUGCAAAAGAAAGCUUAAAGGUGUUGAGUUGGGGAGCACAAAUUUUGGUUAUCGGGUUCACGAGUGGGGUGGUCUCAGUUAUUCCUGUUAAUAUUGCUCUUGUUAAGAAUUGGACGGUUAUUUUUGUAGUUUUGGGCAUCAUUAUUCCACUAUCUGUUUGUAUGGGGCGAUCGGUUUGAAGUGUCUUGCUUUAGAAAACUACCAAAAAUGGCACAUUUUCCCAUUUCUGGGACAACGUUUGAACUUCAGAAGCAAAUGGAACCCUGACAAAGAUUGUUGUCUGCAAUUUUUUAUGGUAGUUCAGUGAUACAGGCAAUUGACGAGUUUAUUUCGUGAGUGCUGCUUCUAAUGAAUUCUUCAAACAUGAGAAGGUGUUGUCAACCAAUGAAAGGAUGAUAUGGGGAUAUUGCAGGACAAAAUUAAUGCUUUGUUGAGAUCUAAUGAAUUAUAACUUGAAAGACACUUGGAAAGCUUAAAAGAUGAAAUGUCCUCACAAAUUUACGCUCCGAGCUUAUGGCUUUAAAGUCUUGAUUUGUUUAGGUUGAUACUAAUUUUGAACUUGCAUGGUAGUUUUUUAGAUUGUUUUACAUGUUAUUUUUUCUUGUAGAACAAAAAAGUCAUGAUUUCUCUAUGUUGAUCACCGAAUAUUGUAGCUCCAAAACAUGCUAGAACCUUUUUGCAGGUGUACAUGAAUAGAGAUGAGGUAAAGUUUAAAAAAAAAUGUUAAUUACACCAAUAUAUUGUGAGAAGAUUGAUAAACAAACAUAA